rnacentral:rRNA from 1 species
UACGUAGGCAGCAAGCGUUGUUCGGAGUUACUGGGCGUAAAGCGUGCGUAGACGGUUACAUAAGUCGGGUGUGAAAUCCCCGGGCUUAACCUGGGAAUGGCAUUGGUGACUGCACGGCUAGAGUGUGUCAGAGGGGGGUAGAAUUCCACGUGUAGCAGUGAAAUGCGUAGAGAUGUGGAGGAAUACCGAUGGCGAAGGCAGCCCCCUGGGAUAACACUGACGCUCAUGCACGAAAGCGUGGGGAGCAAACAGG